CCACCCCUGAAAUCUCUGAGGAUCACGGAGCAGGCUUGGCAUGGGAGCUCUGGGUCUUAAAGAGAUAGAAUUGCGGAGUCGGAAGCACCUUCAGAUCCUUUUGUGCCAGACGUCCCUACCCAGUGAUCUCAGUGUUGCUUGGACGGAAGAGAUGGUGUACGCCCAGGCCCAGGCGACUUCCUCAGUGUGUGCUCACUUGGCUGCCGCUACCUGUCAUCUGUUCCAGGAGCGGAGAGGAGAAGCAAGAACCCACGCACGCUGUGCCCUGAACUGGGCCGCGCGGGGCCCCUCGGUUCCUCGGCCCUGCCUCCAGUCCUGGGGGCCGGUAAGCAGACCCACCUGUGCUCUAGUCCGUUGCGGUGCCACCUGACCAAGCCCAGAGAUAAACCGCUCUUGUAAAAACGA